rnacentral:rRNA from 1 species
GUGCGCAGGCGGUUAGUGCAAGACAGAUGUGAAAUACCCCGGGCCGUCAACCUGGGAACUGCAUUUGUUGACUGCAUAGCUAGAGUACGGUAGAGGGGGAUGGAAUUCCGCGUGUAGCAGUGAAAUGCGUAGAUAUGCGGAGGAACACCGAUGGCGAAGGCAAUCCCCUGGACCUGUACUGACGCUCAUGCACGAAAGCGUGGGGAGCAAACAGGAUUAGAUACCCGAGU